rnacentral:other from 1 species
AAGCCUAACGGAUUAGGUAUCUUCAGGAUGAAGAUUUGAUUGCUUAGGAUGAGUGGUCAGCAAGGAUGUAAAACACUGAUUGAGUUUGAUGUGGCUAGGAUGGUUACUGAUGCUGAUGAAAGUGAAUAUCUCUGGAUGAGAUUAGCCCGUCAGGAUGAUAGGCAAGCAUGGACACCGCUAGGAUGGCGAUGACAAAAGGAAAUCGGUUAAAGGAUUUAGCCAAUAUCAAGGAAAGAUGCAGGGAGCACCUCAUCUCAAUGAGAUAAAUAGUGGCAGGAAGGCUACGAAAGAACUUAACCCCGUAGGGCGCAAGCCUCACGGGGUUUCCUUUUA